AUUGAACGCUGGCGGCAUGCCUUACACAUGCAAGUCGAACGGUAACAGGUCUUCGGAUGCUGACGAGUGGCGAACGGGUGAGUAAUACAUCGGAACGUGCCUAGUAGUGGGGGAUAACUACUCGAAAGAGUGGCUAAUACCGCAUGAGAUCUACGGAUGAAAGCAGGGGAUCGCAAGACCUUGUGCUACUAGAGCGGCCGAUGGCAGAUUAGGUAGUUGGUGGGAUAAAAGCUUACCAAGCCGACGAUCUGUAGCUGGUCUGAGAGGACGAUCAGCCACACUGGGACUGAGACACGGCCCAGACUCCUACGGGAGGCAGGAGUGGGGAAUUUUGGACAAUGGGCGCAAGCCUGAUCCAGAAAUGCCGCGUGCAGGAUGAAGGCCUUCGGGUUGUAAACUGCUUUUGUACGGAACGAAAAGCCCUGGGUUAAUACCCUGGGGUCAUGACGGUACCGUAAGAAUAAGCACCGGCUAACUACGUGCCAGCCGCCGCCGUAACAC
rnacentral:rRNA from 1 species